GAAACCAACUGGGAUUGCCUUAGUAACGGCGAGUGAAGCGGCAAAAGCUCAAAUUUGAAAUCUGGUACCUUUGGUGCCCGAGUUGUAAUUUGGAGAGUACCACUUUGGGACUGUACUUUGCCUAUGUUCCUUGGAACAGGACGUCAUGGAGGGUGAGAAUCCCGUGUGGCGAGGGUGUCAGUUCUUUGUAAAGGGUGCUCGAAGAGUCGAGUUGUUUGGGAAUGCAGCUCUAAGUGGGUGGUAAAUUCCAUCUAAAGCUAAAUACAGGCGAGAGACCGAUAGCGAACAAGUACAGUGAUGGAAAGAUGAAAAGAACUUUGAAAAGAGAGUGAAAAAGUACGUGAAAUUGUUGAAAGGGAAGGGCAUUUGAUCAGACAUGGUGUUUUGCGCCCCUUGCCUCUCGUGGGCUUGGGACUCUCGCAGCUCACUGGGCCAGCAUCGGUUUUGGCGGCCGGAAAAAACCUAGGGAAUGUGGCUCUGCGCCUCGGUGUAGAGUGUUAUAGCCCUGGG
rnacentral:rRNA from 1 species